rnacentral:rRNA from 1 species
GGGGAAUUUUCCGCAAUGGGCGAAAGCCUGACGGAGCAAGACCGCGUGGGGGAGGAAGGCUCUAGGGUUGUAAACCCCUUUUCUUUGGGAAGAAGAACUGACGGUACCAAAGGAAUCAGCCUCGGCUAACUCCGUGCCAGCAGCCGCGGUAAUACGGAGGAGGCAAGCGUUAUCCGGAAUGAUUGGGCGUAAAGCGUCCGCAGGCGGCCAUGUAAGUCUGCUGUUAAAACCCAGGGCUUAACUCUGGUCAGGCAGUGGAAACUACAAAGCUAGAGUUCGGUAGGGGCAAAGGGAAUUCCCGGUGUAGCGGUGAAAUGCGUAGAUAUCGGGAAGAACAUCGGUGGCGAAAGCGCUUUGCUAGGCCGAAACUGACGCUCAGGGACGAAAGCUAGGGGAGCGAAUGGGAUUAGAUACCCCUGUAGUC